rnacentral:rRNA from 1 species
CAUGGCUCAGAUUGAACGCUGGCGGCAGGCCUAACACAUGCAAGUCGAACGGUAACAGGAAGCAGCUUGCUGCUUUGCUGACGAGUGGCGGACGGGUGAGUAAUGUCUGGGAAACUGCCUGAUGGAGGGGGAUAACUACUGGAAACGGUGGCUAAUACCGCAUAACGUCGCAAGACCAAAGAGGGGGACCUUCGGGCCUCUUGCCAUCAGAUGUGCCCAGAUGGGAUUAGCUUGUUGGUGAGGUAACGGCUCACCAAGGCGACGAUCCCUAGCUGGUCUGAGAGGAUGACCAGCCACACUGGAACUGAGACACGGUCCAGACUCCUACGGGAGGCAGCAGUGGGGAAUAUUGCACAAUGGGCGCAAGCCUGAUGCAGCCAUGCCGCGUGUAUGAAGAAGGCCUUCGGGUUGUAAAGUACUUUCAGCGGGGAGGAAGGUGUUGUGGUUAAUAACCGCAGCAAUUGACGUUACCCGCAGAAGAAGCACCGGCUAACUCCGUGCCAGCAGCCGCGGUAAUACGGAGGGUGCAAGCGUUAAUCGGAAUUACUGGGCGUAAAGCGCACGCAGGCGGUCUGUCAAGUCGGAUGUGAAAUCCCCGGGCUCAACCUGGGAACUGCAUUCGAAACUGGCAGGCUUGAGUCUUGUAGAGGGGGGUAGAAUUCCAGGUGUAGCGGUGAAAUGCGUAGAGAUCUGGAGGAAUACCGGUGGCGAAGGCGGCCCCCUGGACAAAGACUGACGCUCAGGUGCGAAAGCGUGGGGAGCAAACAGGAUUAGAUACCCUGGUAGUCCACGCCGUAAACGAUGUCUACUUGGAGGUUGUGCCCUUGAGGCGUGGCUUCCGGAGCUAACGCGUUAAGUAGACCGCCUGGGGAGUACGGCCGCAAGGUUAAAACUCAAAUGAAUUGACGGGGGCCCGCACAAGCGGUGGAGCAUGUGGUUUAAUUCGAUGCAACGCGAAGAACCUUACCUGGUCUUGACAUCCACAGAACUUUCCAGAGAUGGAUUGGUGCCUUCGGGAACUGUGAGACAGGUGCUGCAUGGCUGUCGUCAGCUCGUGUUGUGAAAUGUUGGGUUAAGUCCCGCAACGAGCGCAACCCUUAUCCUUUGUUGCCAGCGGUCCGGCCGGGAACUCAAAGGAGACUGCCAGUGAUAAACUGGAGGAAGGUGGGGAUGACGUCAAGUCAUCAUGGCCCUUACGACCAGGGCUACACACGUGCUACAAUGGCGCAUACAAAGAGAAGCGACCUCGCGAGAGCAAGCGGACCUCAUAAAGUGCGUCGUAGUCCGGAUUGGAGUCUGCAACUCGACUCCAUGAAGUCGGAAUCGCUAGUAAUCGUGGAUCAGAAUGCCACGGUGAAUACGUUCCCGGGCCUUGUACACACCGCCCGUCACACCAUGGGAGUGGGUUGCAAAAGAAGUAGGUAGCUUAACCUUCGGGAGGGCGCUUACCACUUUGUGAUUCAUGACUGGGGUGAAGUCGUAACAAGGUAACCGUAGGGGAACCUGCGGUUGGA